UGCCACAGGCGUCAAGGGGUCCAAAAGGUACUCCUGAUGUACCUUGGCACUGAGUAAAGUCUUGGGUAGCUGGGGAAAAGUGGAGGAGCAAGACUCCUUACUGAGUACUUAGGGUUUAGAGAGUAGUAGGGGUGUUGGAGAAACCUGGUACUCCUACGAAAUCUGAAAAAUCCUGAGGCUGAAAGGUGAGAGGGUACAGGGGAGUUUCCAAGUAGGAUCUGUUGAGCCUGUGGCA
rnacentral:sRNA from 20 species